UUACCCAAUCUUAACAAUGGAGAAAAAAGAAGACUUAAAAAAUAAGCAAAUAAGCAGAAUCUGUGGCUAUGCUUUUGGGAUAGAUUAAAGUUGCCAUGAUCUGAAGAGGAUUUUUCAAAUGUUCUCCUUCUAUAUGAAAUAACUGAGCAGAGGGGA
ensembl:snoRNA